AGGUCAGGGAAAGGACAAAAUGAUAAGCAAUUAAAUCCAUGUUGGUUGUGUUAUAUGAACCGUGAUGUGUACCACAGGUGUCUCAAACGCAUUGAUUGUCGACGAUCUCGCAUACUCGUUGAUAUCUAGGGGCCUUGCGUGCGUUCGCCGUGUCAAAAUAUCAGCAGUUUGGAUAAAUUUCGGUUCACGUUGUCUGAUGGUAGUUCUGUAGUCUCGGGUUUAACACUGCGACGGAAAUUAUCCCGACAUUUUGGUGUUGAAAUUUUUUUUGUAGUUUUUCGAUUUAAAAAUGGAUACAGUAGAUGACUAUUCUGAAGUACAAAUGUCGCCAGUAGUAAAAUUAACUGAUGGAAUUGAUGAGGAAAUUAAUAUAAGGUUCUUUUACAACAUUUAAAGUGGAUGUCAGUGACUGUUGAGAACAAUGUCUCCUACUUUGUUGAAGAUGAUUAACUCAGAACCUGGUGGACUCUUUGGCACGACCAAAGCAUUGAAAAGGAUUUGAGAUUUGGAACUUGGAUUGUUAGAAGUCUCUAUAAAGGUACGGCUGCACUGCACCUCGUGGGCAGUGUGCUAGGUGCUGUGCGUGUAAGCAGGAAGGAUGGCUCUCUCGAAGCUAUCCAAGAAACUUUUAUUGAUGGAAAGAACAGUUUUGAAGCUUGACAAUGUGUCUUCUUAUUUGUGUUGGGUGCAUGAAUUCAAUCAGUGGAGGGGUUCAUUAGUAGAGUUUAAUAAUCUAUAUAUAUAGAGCCAAUGAAAUGGGCCUUGCUAUUAAUGAAAGUAAGACAAAAUACAUGGAAAUAUCGCACAGACCAACCAAUAUGGAAUACUUGAAAGUAAAUAAUUACAAGUUUGGGAAAGUAAACGAAUUUAAAUAUUUGGGCACUUUAAUUAAUUCAACCAAUGAUCUAACUCCAGAAAUUAACCAUAGACUACUGAUAGCUAACAAAUGUUACUGUGGACUAAAAAAACAAUUAAGAUCCAGGCACCUCACCCUUAAGACAAAAUACACGUUAUACAAGACAUUUCUAUGACCUGUGUUGCUCUAUGGGAGUGAAAGCUGAUCCCUGACGAAGGUACAUGAGAACAAAUUAAGAGUAUUUGAAAGGAAAAUAUAUGGUCCAAAGAAUGAAGAUGGAAACUGGGGAAUCAGAUAUAAUGAUGAAUUAUACAAUUUAUAUAAUGAGCCUGAUGUAAUUAAAGUAAUAGACAGGAAGACUAAGGUGGCUGGGACACCUGUAUAGAGCCAGUGAAGCACACCCAAGCAAGAAAGUGACAUUUACCAAUAUAGAAGGAACAAGAAAGAGAGGGAGGACAACACCCCCCUCCCUCCCACUAGGUGGCUUGAUAGUGUAGAACAAGAUCUUCAAGCUCUCGGAGUCCAGGGAUGGAAAAGGAAAGCCAUACAUAGGGACCAAUGAAAGCUCAUUGUUGGGGCAGUCAAGGCCUGUAAUAGGCUGUAGAACCCGUGAUGAUGAUAUAUAGAGAUGCAUGGAAAUUUAAUGACAAAUUUUUUGAGUACCUACGGAUGUCAACAGCCACAUUUGAUCGUCUCUUGAAGAAAUUGAAGGACAAUCUCUCAAGAAAAGAAACCAGUUUCUCCUGAAGAACGAUUACUUGUAACUGUGAGGAAAGGAAAAAUAAAAAAAUAAACGUAAUUGCAAUUCUUUCUUUAAGUUUCGAAAAUUUCAAUCCAUGUCAGUCGAAGAUAGCAUCAACUAAACUGAAGACACAUAGUUUUUCCAUUCAUGAUGGUACGUCUUCUGGCUGAUGAUUCAGGCUGGGCACAUCAGCUGAAUAGUCUGAAGAGAGUCUUGAAGAUUCCACUUGUUCCAACUCCUGAAUUAUUAAGUCUUGAAAUGUGGAGUGCAGAUGAAGCCUUGUAUGUGGAAGAGACUUUGUGUGUGGCAACAAACUUUUCAAAAAUAGCAAGUCGUCAUCAUCUUCCUCGUGUGCACAUUCUCUAUCAAGAAUGUCUAGCAAAAUGCACAGACUGAGACUCAGAUUCUAAUACGGACAACUGUGAACAGUCAUCUUCACCUUUAUCUUCAAUAUUCUGAGUUGAUGGUGUUACCAUAGGUUCCUUGCUACUGGGGAAUCAUUCCACUCUCCAACACUGCAUUUUCAAAUGGGUAACACAACCCUGUCAGAAAUUGUGAAAGAUGCUUGCAAAGUGAUAUGGGCCAUUCUCCCGACAGAAAUGUGGAAUAAUAUAGCUGAUAAUAUGCGAACCGGUGGAAUUUCCUGAACUGUAUUGGGUGCAUAGAUGGCAAACACGUUGCAAUUAAGUGUCCAGACUGAAGUGGUUCAAAGUUUUAUAAUUAUAAACACUUUUAUUCUAACUUGCUGCAGGCUGUUGUUGACAGCAAUUGCAAACUGAUUGUGGUUGAUGUAGGCACUGUGGGCCGUCAAAGUGAUGCGUGAAAUUUCAGAACCUCUUCCCUCUACAAAUUAUUGGAAAGAAGAGAACUGAAUGUUCCACCGGUUUCAGAGCUGCCUGGUAUGGUUUUAAAGUGCCAUUUGUAUUGCUAGGAGACGAGGGAUAUCCACUACUACCAUAUUUAAUGACACUAUACUCAGCAAGAAACUUUGACGACAAGAAAUGAGUCUUUAAUUACCGGUUGUCUGUGGCUUGAAGAAGUGUAGAAUGUGCGUUUGGAAUAAUGUGUACUAAAUGGUGAAUUUUGCUUAAAUGUGUUGAGACAGAUGAACAUAAUGCAACUUCAAUUGUGAAAGCUAUGUGUAUUCUUCAUAAUUUUGUUCUGGAACAUGAGGGACCUGACUCAAGUUACUUAAGCAGCAAGACAGAGCAAAUUCGUUCUUGACGAUCACAGCAUCGCUUCUCAUCUCAUGCCCAGACUACUGUCAGGGAAACAUUUUUGAAUUGUUUUAACAAUGUGGGAUCUGUGCCAUGACAAAAUGGUUGUUUUGCUGGAAAAUAUUCUGCAACGCCACAGUACAGUAUAAAUGUUGUAUCUAAAUCAGAAUGUAUGUAAAUUUUAUGCAAAGGAAUUUGAUAAUUUGGAGGCUAUUUAAUAAACUUUCAACUCACCAUC